rnacentral:rRNA from 1 species
CCAAUAGCGUAUAUUAAAGUUGUUGCAGUUAAAAAGCUCGUAGUUGAAUUUCGGGGUCAGUAGAUUGGUCGUGCCACUGGUAUGUACUGGUCUUACUGGCUCCUCCUUCCUGAUGAACCGUAAUGCCAUUAAUUUGGUGUUGCGGGGAGACUGGACUGUUACUUUGAAAAAAUUAGAGUGUUUAAAGCAGGCUAACGCUUGAAUACAUUAGCAUGGAAUAAUGAAAUAGGACGUUCGACCUUAUUUUGUUGGUUUCUAGGUUUGACGUAAUGAUUAAUAGGGAUAGUUGGGGGCAUUAGUAUUCAAUUGUCAGAGGUGAAAUUCUUGGAUUUAUUGAAGACUAACUACUGCGAAAGCAUUUGCCAAGGAUGUUUUCAUUAAUCAAGAACGAAAGUUAGGGGAUCGAAGACGAUCAGAUACCGUCGUAGUCUUAACCAUAAACUAUGCCGACUAGGGAUCGGAUGAUGUUAAUUUUUUAAUGACUCAUUCGGCGCCUUACG